CUCCUCGCCCUGCUCUGUCCCAUCACAGAGCAAAGCCUGGGAUAUACCACCAUGAAUGCGUUUGUUAUUGAGACACGCGAUUUGUUCCUCUAACACCACCUGAAGGGUGAAGCUGAAUAUCAUGAAUCUCUGCUCUCUGGAACACAGCCUUGUUUCCCAGGUCACACAGUUCACCCACACAUCAGCACCGUCCUCCUCCACUGGGAAGGAUUUCACUUUUGGAAAAUGAACGUUCCUGCGUUGUGCAGAAAACUGUCUGGUCUUGUCAGAGUGACAAACCCCCUCCUUAAUAAAUCACGCAGCGGCUCCAGUCCUGCAUUUCUCCGGCGCACCGCAGAGAUGUGCGCAGGGGGGGGACGAGGCUGUGCCAGGAACAGCGCGCGUGAUCCACCUGAGUUUGUUUACCUGUCGGUUUCAGAGCCGUCUGUAAACUGCGAUGACCCAGACACUCCCACCUCAACUAUCUGCUCCAGCAGUCACUUAACUACCUUGAGUUUUUAAUAAGCACUUGUUCAACAAGUGGAGACACGAGAACCUUUUUUUUAACUCAACAGUUUGUCACGAUGGAAAAAAAGGAAAAGGCCUCACGUCGUGGUAAACAAACAAAAUGACGAGUGCAGCAGGAUUUCGAUUAAUUCUGAUCGAAAGAAGAAUCUGAACUUGAUUUUUGUUCAAUAUUUUUUCGUGUCAGACGUCACCCAGGUUCCUCAGAUCAUGAUGGAGAUCAGAUUCAUCUGCAGUGGGAUUUAAACACGACGUUGGCUGCACCCCCUCCUGGGAAACGAGCCAACAUCAAAUGUAAAUCAAAUAUAUAUUUAGUUAUUAAGAGUUUAUCUCCUUAUUCCUACAGUUAAUAAAACACAUAAACAUCUGUAUGUCUGUAAACAUCUGUAUUGUCUUUCUAUUUACUACAUAUUAAAAUGUCCUCGCAAUGUGAGAG